rnacentral:rRNA from 1 species
UACAGAGGGUGCAAGCGUUAAUCGGAAUUACUGGGCGUAAAGCGUGCGUAGGCGGUUGCGUAAGUCAGAUGUGAAAGCCCCGGGCUCAACCUGGGAAUUGCAUUUGAGACUGCGUAGCUAGGGUGCGGAAGAGGGAAGCGGAAUUUCCGAUGUAACGGUGAAAUGCGUAGAUAUCGGAAAGAACACCAGUGGCGAAAGCGGCUUCCUGGUCCAGCACCGACGUUCAGGCACGAAAGCGUAGGGAGCAAACAGG